rnacentral:ncRNA from 1 species
UUGAUUCAGAUAAUUGGUAUUUGCCCCUGUCCGAUCGGGCAAUGGGGCGAAGCUACCAUCUGCUGGAUAAUGGCUGAACGCCUCUAAGCCAGAAUCCGUGCUAGAAACGAUGAUGUUGGUCCCGCACAUGUUAGUUGCGUUUAAAUAGAGCUUUGUUCGUGAACCAUACUUGGUGGGUCAUGCUGGCUGGACGGAAAGGUCUUGUCAGUUUGCCUGCGUAUUACAAUCAAAAUAUGGGCGGGGGUGAAUCCUUUGCAGACGACUUGAAUGGGAACGGGGUGCUGUAAGCAGUAGAGUAGCCUUGUUGCUACGAUCUGCUGAGGCUAAGCCUUUGUUCUAAAGAUUUGU